GAGUUUGAUCCUGGCUCAGAAUAAACGCUAGUAAUAUGCUUUACACAUGCUAGUUAAACGAAUUUCGUAGCGCACGGGUGAGUAAUACAUAAAAUUUUUUUCUUCUAAUCUGUGAUAACAAUAUAAAUCUUUUUACUUGUAGUAAGAUUAAAUUUUUAAAAUAUUAAUAUUAGAAAAAAAAUGUUAAGUUUGUUAGAAGGUAAAUUUAUGUAGGAUUAGGUAGUUGGUGUGGAUAAAAGCAGACCAAGCCGAUGAUCCUUAAUUGGUCUGAGAGGACGAUCAAUCACACUGGAACUGAAACAAAGUCCAGGCUUUUUGCCAGCAGUGAGGAAUAUUGGACAAUGAACGAAAGUUUGAUCCAGCAAUAUUACGUGAAUAAAAAAACAAAAUAUCAUAUUUUGUCAGAUAGACGGCUAAUUUUGGUUGUAAAAUUCAUUUUUUAAAAUUGAUAAUGACAUAAUUUAAAAAUCAAGUCCCGGCUAAUCUCGUGCCAGCAGCCGCGGUAAUACGGGAGGGGCAAGCGUUAUUCGGAAUAAUUGGGCGUAAAGCGUUCGUAGACCGUAAUGUACAUUACUUAUGAAAGUCUAAAACCUAAUUUUAGAAAAGUACUUAAUACAACAUUACUAGAGUUUAGAAAAAAAAAGUAGAAUUCCGCAAGUAAGAGUGGUAUCUAAAAAUAUGCAGGAGGAAUAUCUAAAGCGAAAGCAACUUUUUAGGAUAAACUGACGUUGAGGGACGAAAGCAUGGGUAGCAAAUAGGAUUAGGUACCCUAGUAGUCCAUGCUGUAAACUAUGAGUGCUCGAAUUUAAAAAAAAUUAGAUUCUUAGUUAACACGUUAAGCAUUCCGCCUGAGAAGUACGAUCGCAAGAUUGGAACUCAAAGGAAUUGACGGGGGCCGAUACAAGUGGUGGAGCAUGUGGUUUAAUGCGAUAAUCCGCGCAAAACCUUACCAGUUCUUGACAUUAUUA
rnacentral:rRNA from 1 species